rnacentral:tRNA from 1 species
GCCUUCAUGAUGAAACUGUAAGCACGUCCAGUUAAAAAUUGCGAAGUCCGGAGUUCGAAUCCCUGUGAAGGCA